rnacentral:rRNA from 1 species
UGUAAGCGUAUACCAAAGUUGUUGCAGUUAAAACGCUCGUAGUCGGAAUUUGGCAGUUCCGGAUGUGUGCACGUCGUGUGCGCACUUCGCGGGGAUUGCUUUUGUGGUCUUGCGUAGGAUGAGGCACUUUUAUUAGUGAACGUCCUCACGCAACCACUUUUUACUGUGAGACAAUCAGAGUGCUCAAAGCAGGCAUUUGCCGUGAAUGUAUUAGCAUGGAAUAAUAGAAUAGGACUUGGUUCUAUUUUGUUGGUUUGUUGGGACUGAGUAAUGAUUAAGAGGGACAGUUGGGGGCAUUUGUAUUUCGGUGCUAGAGGUGAAAUUCUUAGAUUACCGAAAGACAAACUGCUGCGAAAGCGUCUGCCAAGGAUGUUUUCAUUGA